CAGGAUAGAGUCUGGCUUUAACAUCUUCAUUAUAGUGAUGUUUUUAUUUUAAAAACUCGAUUCUUUGACAGUAAAGUAUAUCUACUUCAGUUUACUGGAUAUCGACGAGCGGUACCUGUUGAAAAAGGUUUGAAAAGCACUGAUCUAGAUCUAGAUCUACUGGGUAAUAGUUGAAAGCAAUCGUAUAUUUACUAAAUUCUUUAUCACUUAGCCGAAAUUCGUAUCUAUAGUUUUGUAUAUAAAUAACAAAAUGGCGAGUGUUUUGCUUUCACACUCACAGCAUUCGCAGGUUGAAACUUUAAAGAGGCGUAAGAAACAAAAUAAAAUUCUAAAAAAAUAAAUAAACUAAAAAUUCUUUUGUCUGUUCGCGAACAUUUAUAUUUAUCGGAUGAAGCAACACGGUGUGUCUGUCGACUGCGAAAUUCUCAGCAGCAGCAACUCAAUAUUUGGUAUCAGGCUUUUCUGCCAGCAGUCUCUUCUUCCUCAAGAUGACAUUUCUGACGUGUUCCUUAGGAUGGUCAUGUUGGUUUUUGAUUAUGUCAUUAAGGAUGUGCUGUUGAGCGAAAAGACUACUACACAGUGGAAACUGGUUCAAGAACAGAUGACUAAUUAACAACAAUGAAAAGACAAAUCAGAAACAAGAGGAGAGGCAUUUACUACACAUGUGCAGUUUGUUUGGUUUUAUUUACAGUAAUUAUUUUAAGAUCCGCCAAACAGUCAAAGAUCUCAAAGUUGAGACUUAAAUCUCGAAUGGAUUCUUAUUUUUCAGUUGAUUGUGUCUAACACAAAUAAGAUGGAACUGAAGCAUCCCACAUGCACAAUAGCAAUGAAGAGAACUAUGAGAGAGGAUAUGAAUUGUGGCUUAUGGUUAAAGCCAAAAAGAGAAAUCAAAAUAUUAAAUUGUAUGGCCUUACUUGGGCAUUUUCUGGUUGGAUUGGUCAAGGCACACAUAAUCCUUAUACAAAUGUUUCUCUGACAGCUUACAUUGUUUGAUGGAUUACUGGAGCUAAAAGAAGGCAUAAUUUAACAAUAGUCUACAUUGGGAUUUUGCAUUUUGGAAAGUGUUAUGCAAAAGUGAUUCUGUUCACAUCUGCCAUUAUCCAAGCACAUAUGAUUCUCCUGAGGCUUACAUCACUGGAAAAAGUCUUUCGGCCUCUGAAGAUUACAGUACAUGUAAUGCUGCAAAUGGAGGAGGAUGCUGGGCCAGAUAUAUAUAUAUAUAUAUGGAGAGAGAGCAUAAAGGAAGGGUCACGGAUUGCAGAUGUCAUACACAACGGAAGCAGAAAGAAGGGUAAAAAUGCAACGGCGCCUGGUGAUUAUAUAUACCCAACCUGCGAUCGCAGCAGUGUAUCAAGGAUUGGCCUCUUUAGUCACACAAGAAGUUGCAAAGGAUUUGAUUUGGUGAUCCCUCUUCAGAAACAUCAGGUAUGUUAUUUAAAUUUAUGCAUUAACAACCAAAUAAUAAUGACUAGAUAUUUCUUAUGAAAUAAUAGUUAUUAUGUGUACUCCUCAAAAGUUGUAUUGGAAUAAUUUGUUUUUAAAACAAAGCUGGACAUUAAAUUCAAUUGUGAUUGAUUUCAACCCACUGAUACAAGGGGCAUGCUUGCAAGUAUAGCAGCCAAAAAAAAACUAAAUAAACAAUAACCAUACUUUUAGACUUAGAUCCUCCCCCUCUGUUUGGUGCAUUGAGUGGCAAGCUGUCUCCAAAAAGAUCUGUCUGAAGUCUGUUCACCCAUAUUUAUAGAAAUAUAAAAAGAUUCUGACUUCUAGAAAAGAUAAAAAAUGGAAAAGCUAACUAAACUUUGACAAUGUAAUGGAAAAAAAAUCAAUGUUGAACCAUCCUAAUAGUUUGUGAUGAGAAAUGUCAUCAGCCACCUUGGCAGCAGUACCAAAAAAACUGCCAAGCCAAAUGUUAGGCACUGUCAUUUUUGUCUAGUAAAUGAUGUUUCACAGCAAUACAGUGCAGCCCUUCAUCAGAACAAUGUUGCCUGAGUACUGAAACUUAAAUAAGUUUAGAAACCUUUGAAAGCAUCUUGUCAAAUUACAACCAAUACCUUCUGAAGAACUUUAUAAAAUGGUACUCAAAACAGCUUAGUUUUCUCUUUUAGUGAGUGCUGACAAAACAUUAAUGAGGAAGUGGACUCAAGAUAAGGAUACCAUCAUUUAUAUUACAUUUAACUUAUGCAUUACACUUUUUAUAUUUUAAUUUUGCAUUUUAAAAUGUAAUUUUUGCUUGCAAUAUUUUAUCAACUUUUUUUUUUUUUAGAUCAAAGGAAUGUACAUGCUGCUGAUAUAGAAAAAGUUUCUGACUGCUUACAGAUCAGUGUUCUUAGUUCUGCUAUUGAUUUACUAUUGCAUAAUAAAUAAACAUGUAAUGAUCAAUCACAUUUUUAUACCAAGUUCAUCUAAUGAUUUGCACAGCAUAUUAUCAGCAUUCACAGUUCAUCUAAUGAUCUACAUAUGAAGCAGCACCAUGCAGAGCUAACAUCACCUACUGAAGAGAGUUUCCAUCAUGCUUUAGCAACAAUCCAAAAACAAAAUGAAAAAGUGGUUUCUUUGUUUGGGACAAGUCCUGAAAGGCCUUCAGAAUCUGGGAGCACACUAUUGUUAACAAGCAGUGUGUCAUAUGACCAGCUCAAUGACCAACAGCCUUUACUUUUCGAACCAAAGUCAGGACACUGUUCAAAGAUAUUUUAAGAUGUUGGCCUCACAUCUUGACACUUGUUAGAGUGUAAAGAUUUGACUUAACAAAUGUUAAAAUAAAAAGAGCACAUUGUGGAGAGUUGACCGUCAUUAAAAAAUGAUUGUCAGACUUCUGCUAGAUGUUGAUCUUUUCAUCACAACACCAAUAACUUCUUCUUGGAGUCAAGUAACAGUGUAUAUCACCUGAAAAAGCUAUUUAAAUUCCCUUAAAGAUCACAAAUUAAUGCUGAUGACAUAAAGCACAUUUAUCCACGAAAUCUUAUGAACACAUAAUAUUAUGUUGUACAACUAAAUAGUGGUGUCUGGAAAUUUAGGCAGUGUGUAUGUAGUGUAUAUGCUUAUUUAUUAUUUAUCUGUUUCUUAAACAUAGGCUUAUGUUCCCCGCGCUACCCAAACUAUAAUUCGGAGUGUGAAACAUAACAGAUUAACAGGUGCUAUAUUAUGUUUCGUUUAACAAAGAUUUUCUUACACUCUACAUAUUCCUCCCCCCCCCCGAGAGGUGGGCCAGGGGUAGUGGUAAGUAUUAUAAUCACGUACUGAGAAGACCUAACGGCGAGCGAGAAAGGGGUUACGUCGUCACUAGAUCUGUGUCAGCUCAAUACAAUUUUUUCUCUUCGUGGUGUAGUCUUAAUCAUAAACAGAUAAAAAUUAAAGUUUUAAGAUACUGUUAAUCUUCUAUAAUAAAAUGCUUAUUUCUUAUAGUAAUACGUUUCCCGUACUAGAUCUUUAUAAUUUAUUGUCAUUGCUCUAUAUAGUAUAGAUCACUUACUCACAAUGCAUACUUUUGUUGAAAAGAAAAA